CUGGUCUCGCUGAUCCCUCCCUCUUGACGAACUGUGAUGCCAUUAAUUUGGUGUCGCAGGGAAUCAGGACUGUUACUUUGAAAAAAUUAGAGUGUUUAAAGCAGGCUUUCGCUUGAAUACAUUAGCAUGGAAUAAUGAAAUAGGGCGUUUGAUCCUAUUUUGUUGGUUUCUAGGAUUGACGUAAUGAUUAAUAGGGAUAGUUGGGGGCAUUAGUAUUCAAUUGUCAGAGGUGAAAUUCUUGGAUUUAUUGAAGACUAACUACUGCGAAAGCAUUUGCCAAGGAUGUUUUCAUUAAUCAAGAACGAAAGUUAGGGGAUCGAAGACGAUCAGAUACCGUCGUAGUCUUAACCAUAAACUAUGCCGACUAGGGAUCGGAUGAUGUUAAUUUUUUAAUGACUCAUUCGGCGCCUUACG
rnacentral:rRNA from 1 species